AACGAACGCUGGCGGCAUGCCUAACACAUGCAAGUCGAACGAGACCUUCGGGUCUAGUGGCGCACGGGUGCGUAACGCGUGGGAACCUGCCCUUAGGUUCGGAAUAACUCCCCGAAAGGGGUGCUAAUACCGGAUAAUGUCUUCGGAUCAAAGAUUUAUCGCCUUUGGAUGGGCCCGCGUUGGAUUAGCUAGUUGGUAGGGUAAAAGCCUACCAAGGCGACGAUCCAUAGCUGGUCUGAGAGGAUGAUCAGCCACACUGGGACUGAGACACGGCCCAGACUCCUACGGGAGGCAGCAGUGGGGAAUAUUGGACAAUGGGCGAAAGCCUGAUCCAGCAAUGCCGCGUGAGUGAUGAAGGCCUUAGGGUUGUAAAGCUCUUUUACCCGGGAUGAUAAUGACAGUACCGGGAGAAUAAGCUCCAGCUAACUCCGUG
rnacentral:rRNA from 1 species